GUGGGGAAUAUUGGACAAUGGGCGAAAGCCUGAUCCAGCCAUGCCGCGUGUGUGAAGAAGGUCUUCGGAUUGUAAAGCACUUUAAGUUGGGAGGAAGGGCAGUAAGUUAAUACCUUGCUGUUUUGACGUUACUGACAGAAUAAGCACCGGCUAACUUCGUGCCAGCAGCCGCGGUAAUACGAAGGGUGCAAGCGUUAAUCGGAAUUACUGGGCGUAAAGCGCGCGUAGGUGGUUUUGUAAGUUGGAGGUGAAAUCCCCGGGCUCAACCUGGGAACUGCCUCCAAAACUACUGAGCUAGAGUACGGUAGAGGGUAGUGGAAUUUCCUGUGUAGCGGUGAAAUGCGUAGAUAUAGGAAGGAACACCAGUGGCGAAGGCGACUACCUGGACUGAUACUGACACUGAGGUGCGAAAGCGUGGGGAGCAAACAGGAUUAGAAACCCGGGUAGUCC
rnacentral:rRNA from 1 species